rnacentral:rRNA from 1 species
UGCUGGAGGUAUCAGAAGUGCGAAUGCUGACAUAAGUAACGAUAAAGCGGGUGAAAAGCCCGCUCGCCGGAAGACCAAGGGUUCCUGUCCAACGUUAAUCGGGGCAGGGUGAGUCGACCCCUAAGGCGAGGCCGAAAGGCGUAGUCGAUGGGAAACAGGUUAAUAUUCCUGUACUUGGUGUUACUGCGAAGGGGGGACGGAGAAGGCUAUGUUGGCCGGGCGACGGUUGUCCCGGUUUAAGCGUGUAGGCUGGUUUUCCAGGCAAAUCCGGAAAAUCAAGGCUGAGGCGUGAUGACGAGGCACUACGGUGCUGAAGCGACAAAUGCCCUGCUUCCAGGAAAAGCCUCUAAGCAUCAGGUAACAUCAAAUCGUACCCCAAACCGACACAGGUGGUCAGGUAGAGAAUACCAAGGCGCUUGAGAGAACUCGGGUGAAGGAACUAGGCAAAAUGGUGCCGUAACUUCGGGAGAAGGCACGCUGAUAUGUAGGUGAAGCGACUUGCUCGUGGAGCUGAAAUCAGUCGAAGAUACCAGCUGGCUGCAACUGUUUAUUAAAAACACAGCACUGUGCAAACACGAAAGUGGACGUAUACGGUGUGACGCCUGCCCGGUGCCGGAAGGUUAAUUGAUGGGGUUAGCGGUAACGCGAAGCUCUUGAUCGAAGCCCCGGUAAACGGCGGCCGUAACUAUAACGGUCCUAAGGUAGCGAAAUUCCUUGUCGGGUAAGUUCCGACCUGCACGAAUGGCGUAAUGAUGGCCAGGCUGUCUCCACCCGAGACUCAGUGAAAUUGAACUCGCUGUGAAGAUGCAGUGUACCCGCGGCAAGACGGAAAGACCCCGUGAACCUUUACUAUAGCUUGACACUGAACAUUGAGCCUUGAUGUGUAGGAUAGGUGGGAGGCUUUGAAGUGUGGACGCCAGUCUGCAUGGAGCCGACCUUGAAAUACCACCCUUUAAUGUUUGAUGUUCUAACGUUGGCCCCUAAUCGGGGUUGCGGACAGUGUCUGGUGGGUAGUUUGACUGGGGCGGUCUCCUCCUAAAGAGUAACGGAGGAGCACGAAGGUUGGCUAAUCCUGGUCGGACAUCAGGAGGUUAGUGCAAUGGCAUAAGCCAGCUUGACUGCGAGCGUGACGGCGCGAGCAGGUGCGAAAGCAGGUCAUAGUGAUCCGGUGGUUCUGAAUGGAAGGGCCAUCGCUCAACGGAUAAAAGGUACUCCGGGGAUAACAGGCUGAUACCGCCCAAGAGUUCAUAUCGACGGCGGUGUUUGGCACCUCGAUGUCGGCUCAUCACAUCCUGGGGCUGAAGUAGGUCCCAAGGGUAUGGCUGUUCGCCAUUUAAAGUGGUACGCGAGCUGGGUUUAGAACGUCGUGAGACAGUUCGGUCCCUAUCUGCCGUGGGCGCUGGAGAACUGAGGGGGGCUGCUCCUAGUACGAGAGGACCGGAGUGGACGCAUCACUGGUGUUCGGGUUGUCAUGCCAAUGGCACUGCCCGGUAGCUAAAUGCGGAAGAGAUAAGUGCUGAAAGCAUCUAAGCACGAAACUUGCCCCGAGAUGAGUUCUCCCUGACUCCUUGA